rnacentral:rRNA from 1 species
UACGUAGGGGGCGAGCGUUGUCCGGAUUUACUGGGUGUAAAGGGUGCUCAGGCGGGUCUGUAAGUCAGGGGUGAAAUCCCAGAGCUUAACUCUGGAGCUGCCUUUGAUACUGCAGAUCUCGAGUUUGGGAGAGGCGAGUGGAAUAUCUGGUGUAGCAGUGAAAUGCGUAGAUAUCAGAUAGAACACCAAUGGCGAAGGCAGCUCGCUGGCCCAAUACUGACGCUAAAGCACGAAAGCGUGGGGAGCAAACAGG